GACGAACGCUGGCGGCGUGCUUAACACAUGCAAGUCGAACGGAAAGGCCCUGCUUUUGUGGGGUGCUCGAGUGCCGAACGGGUGAGUAACACGUGAGUAACCUGCCCUUCACUUUGGGAUAACUUCAGGAAACUGGGGCUAAUACCGGAUAGCAGCUCCUGCUGCAUUGUGGGGGUUGGAAAGUUUCGGCGGUUGGGGAUGGACUCGCGGCUUAUCAGCUUGUUGGUGGGGUAGUGGCUUACCAAGGCUUUGACGGGUAGCCGGCCUGAGAGGGUGACCGGCCACAUUGGGACUGAGAGACGGCCCAGACUCCUACGGGAGGCAGCAGGGGGGAAUAUUGCACAAUGGGCGGAAGCCUGAUGCAGCAACGCCGCGUGCGGGAAGACGGCCUUCGGGUUGUAAACCGCUUUCGCCUGUGACGAAGCGUGAGUGACGGUAAUGGGUAAAGAAGCACCGGCUAACUACGUG
rnacentral:rRNA from 1 species